CCUACGGGCGGCUGCAGUAGGGAAUUUUCGGCAAUGGGGGGAACCCUGACCGAGCAACGCCGCGUGAACGAAGAAGUUAUUCGUAAUGUAAAGUUCUUUUAUCAGGGAAGAAAAAACAAAUUGACGGUACCUGAUGAAUAAGCUCCGGCUAACUACGUGCCAGCAGCCGCGGUAAUACGUAGGGAGCGAGCGUUAUCCGGAAUUAUUGGGCGUAAAGGGUGCGUAGAUGGCAUAAGAAGUCUAUUGUAAAAGUGCUAAGCUUAACUUAGUGAGGCAAUAGAAACUCUUAAGCUAGAGUAUAACAGAGGCAAGUGGAAUUCCAUGUGUAGCGGUAAAAUGCGUAAAUAUAUGGAGGAACACCAGUGGCGAAGGCGGCUUGCUGGGUUGAUACUGACAUUGAGGCACGAAAGCGUGGGGAGCAAACAGGAUUAGAUACCCCAGUAGUC
rnacentral:rRNA from 1 species